rnacentral:tRNA from 2 species
GGAGGUAUGGUGUAGCGGAUAGCAUCAAGGAUUUCGAAUCCUUGGACCUCGGUUCGAAUCCGAGUACCUUCG